GUGAGUUACAAUGUCAUUAUCCAGUACUUUCAUUACAACUAAAGCUCCCUAAAGCAUCCAAUACUUAUUUUAGGUUUUUCACAUGUUUUCCUUAUAUGCUACCUUGGUUUUGAAAUUUAUAAUAACAUAACCAUAUCAAUGUCUUUAUUAUCUUUGAUAAAGUUAUGAAACAUAAUUUUUUAUAAAUUUACCUAUUACCAACUAUGUCGUUUACAUGAGAAUGACUCAGAUUACUUUAUUGUUUCAAGUCCUGAAGUUGCUGCACAUUCUUAUGAAAAUAUCAUUGAACCAGCAAUUCCUGAAUGAAGAAAUCAAUGAU
rnacentral:lncRNA from 1 species